rnacentral:rRNA from 1 species
AAGGAAAAAAAAGGAGUAAUCAGCUGUGACACGAAAAAAACGAACCCUUUUGUAGCUCAUCAUUUAUUGGCAAAGAUAGAAAAGGUCAAUAUGAAGGAGGAGAAAGAAACAAUAGUAACGUGGUCCCGGGCAUCUAGCAUUCUACCCACAAUGGUUGGCCAUACAAUCGCAAUUCAUAAUGGAAAGGAACAUAUACCUAUUUACAUAACAAAUCCUAUGGUAGGUCGCAAAUUGGGAGUGGCAAGCACCUUGUCGUCGCGAGCUCCGGCAGCCUGCAUCGCGAUGGUGUAG